AAUCCUGAGAGGAGGAGGAGGCCUGGGAGAGGCAUCGGGCAUCGGCGUCAAAAACCUUGGGUAUCGCCUACCCAAUCCUGAGAGGAGGAGGUCUGGGAGAGGCAUCGGGCAUCGGCGGAGCAACCUUGGGUAUCGUCGUAGCUACGUGGCAGAAUAACUCCGCCCGUUGCGCGUCGGACCGGUGAGUCAGAAAAUUUUGUUAUUUUUUAUGAGGUAACGAAUCUACGAUUAAUUAUGUUGAAUGUAGAGAAAAUGUCUCAGUACAUGUCGAAUAACGACAAUUAAAUCAUUUUACAAAUUACUAAUUAAAUAUCGUAGAUCUGUUGCCUUAAAAUGGAUUGACUAAAUUUGAUUAGGGCAAAUAUUUAAUCUUGGUAUUGCU